CUCCCUGCUGACGGUGGACGUCGCGCACGGCCACCUGCAACUUGGGGAUCACAAUCUUGGUUAGAUUCGUCGAGGCCGGCGUCGUCACCUCUCCAUAAUCUACUGCCGCUUCCUUUGUGUUUCUCCGCCGUCCACCUCGCCUGGUCUUGGAUCUCUCCAACCAAAGCAAAGGGGAAGAAGGAAGGAUGGGCGCAGUAGUGAAGAAGGGAUGGGAGCGGUACAUGCUUCAACUCCAACUGCACCCUCUGAGAACCAAAGCGAUCACGGCCGGCGUUUUGGCAGGGAUCAGUGAUUCGGUGGCGCAGAAGCUUUCGGGCAUCCCCAGGCUGCAGCUGAGGCGGCUCCUCCUCAAAGUGCUCUUUGGCUUUGCCUAUGGUGGACCUUUUGGGCACUUCUUGCACAAGCUGUUGGAGAUCAUUUUCAAGGGAAAGAAAGAUUCCAAAACGGUAGCUAAGAAGGUGCUAUUGGAACAGAUGACAUCUUCUCCUUGGAACAAUUUUCUUUUCUUGAUAUAUUACGGCUUGAUUGUUGAGAGAAGGCCUUGGCCACAGGUCAAGGACAAAGUUAAAAAGGAUUACCCCUCAGUGCAGUUGACUUCAUGGAUGUUCUGGCCAGCAGUAGGGUGGGUAAAUCAUCGGUAUAUGCCGCUACAGUUCCGUGUUAUAUUCCAUAGCUUUGUGGCAUGUUGCUGGGGAAUAUUUUUGAACCUUAGAGCGAGGACUAAGGCCUUGCCUAAAUGAUGGAAGGAAAUAUAGGCGCAAGGAGGGGAUUCAUUCGAAAAAGCAAAAAAGAAGGCCAAGUUAUCCUGCUUGGUUACAGCAACGUUUCCGGUUAGCACUUGUUUGUUGGCUGUGGUUCCUCCUUACAGAGGGAAUGAUUAGAUAGAUCUGCAUAGAACUUGGCGGUAAAUGCUGUCGGAGAGGGAGCCAAUCCCCAGUUGCUCGUAAGGAGUUGGAGUUAGGCUUUCGCUUCCGGUGAACACUUGGCGAGGAACACUAAUAUUUGCAGCCAACGUUGGCUGUUCACAUGCUGAUUACGAGUAUAGCAAGUCGCUGGGUGACUCAGUUCGGAGUAUAGCAAGUGCUACACCUAAGAAAAGGCCAACUCGGUUUAGAACA